ACAGAACUCUUUCAAUACAUCGAUCACAACACACACUUCCCCAAUAUUAAAACCCUAACAAUGAAGACGGUCGAUCAAAGGCGACUGAGCUGUGAACGAGCAUUGUGCGGUGGUUUCUGAACGAUGAAUGAGCCUUGGUGUGUUCGUGAUCCUAGUGAAGUAUUCAAUCCAGAAGAGGCAUAUGAUAAUAAACUACCCUGAAAACUUUUCAAUCGAAAUACACCAUGGGGUUGAAUUUACCAAUGUUGUGAAAACCGAACCGGACCGGCCGGUUCGACUGGUCGGACCGGCAACCGGAACCCUAGCCGGUCCGGUUUGUGGUGUUGAACCGUUUUGCACUCAACCGGCCGGUUGGAUCGGUGACCGGCGGCCGGAUCGGAAAAUCAGUGCUAUUUAGUGGUCGGGCCGACGAAGUUGAAUAAGGGGAACGAAUUUUAUCAGAUCUGUUGUCAUCUCCGACGAGGCCGCAAAAAAAAAUACUGUACCUUUUAGGGUUUGAUACUUGUGAUUCAUAAAACGAUGGGUAAUAAAUAGAAAUGAAAAUUAUCAUAUUUUUUCU